CAAAAGAUUACUAAAAUAGCACUCAGCCCUUCUUAUUAAAUUUUAAAAGUCUGUAUCUUUUUUUAGGGGGCCAUCAAGAAAUGAAAAUUUGUGGUGGCAAUAUAAAAGUUCAGUAAGUUCAUUUAAAAGUGAUUCCUAUUUAGAAUACAUUCCAUGUUUCUGCGAGGUUAGUCAUCUACCAAGUUUUUGGUGAUUAACCUUACAAUGGUAUUGGUCAAUUCCAGGAAGCAGCAAUGGGAUUUUUGAAGGGUAUUCAUAUCAUCAGAAAUCUAGAAAAACGCACUUUAAAAAAAAUUUCUUGCUCAUGGAGGUCUGUGAGCCCCAUAAGGAUUGAGCACUCAGGCUGAAUGCUCAUUCAAUUCAGCCAUCUUCAUUUGGUUUUGUUUUAUUUUUUUUCACUUCUAAGUGGAGAACAGUUUAGGAGGAAUCAGUCGAGUUUA
rnacentral:lncRNA from 1 species